ACCCCCCUUCUUCAGGGAUCAUUUCUAUAGUUUGUUACUAGAGAAGUCUCUCUGAAUGUGUAGCGCACUGAAAAACCACAAGGAGGAGGUGUAGCGUUUUCUUCUGAGCGUGAAGUUGGCAUUUGGUGUUGCAGUUGCUACCAUCAUGAUUUCUAAAAUUUUCAUCUGCAGUGAUCACAAUAAAAUAUAGAUUGAAGGAGAUACACCUAG